CUUACCGAGAGCAACACAAGAGCUCUAUGCUUGGUAGCUCUUGUGAUGAUGUCUACUCUAUUCUCAUGUCAUGCAGAUCCAAAACCAACCCCCCUUCCCUACGUGUGUAUCAAAUUUAAAAGUUGUGAAGGAGACACUUUAUCCGACCAGCCAUGUGUUGAUCAUUGCGCAUUUUUUGAAUUCAAAAAAGGCCACUGCACACCGGACCAUGGUGGCCUUUGUUGCUGCUAUAAUUGAACGUCUAACGAAUGAUGGAUACAAUGUUUUAUAAUGUGCUAAAAAGCUGUUGGGUGUACGGCAGGUUCAAUGUCCAUGUGCUCAAAACAUAAUAAAGUAUUGAUCAACUUGAUUGUGAA